GAUGAACGCUGGCGGCGUGCCUAAUACAUGCAAGUCGAGCGAACAGACGAGGAGCUUGCUCCUCUGACGUUAGCGGCUGACGGGUGAGUAACACGUGGAUAACCUACCUAUAAGACUGGGAUAACUUCGGGAAACCGGAUCUAAUACCGGAUAAUAUAUUGAACCGCAUGGUUCAAUAGUGAAAGACGGUUUUGCUGUCACUUAUAGAUGGAUCCGCGCCGCAUUAGCUAGUUGGUAAGGUAACGGCUUACCAAGGCGACGAUGCGUAGCCGACCUGAGAGGGUGAUCGGCCACACUGGAACUGAGACACGGUCCAGACUCCUACGGGAGGCAGCAGUAGGGAAUAUUCCGCAAUGGGCGAAAGCCUGACGGAGCAACGCCGCGUGAGUGAUGAAGGUCUUCGGAUCGUAAAACUCUGUUAUUAGGGAAGAAAAACUGUGUAAGUAACUAUGCACGUCUUGACGGUACCUAAUCAGAAAGCCACGGCUAACUACGUG
rnacentral:rRNA from 1 species